rnacentral:rRNA from 1 species
UACAGAGGUGGCAAGCGUUGUUCGGAUUUAUUGGGCGUGAAGGGUCCGUAGGCGGUUUGGAAAGUCAGAUGUGAAAUCCCACAGCUCAACUGUGGAACUGCAUUUGAAACUUCCAGACUAGAGUAUGAGAGGGGUUAAGGGAAUUCCCGGUGUAAGGGUGAAAUCUGCAGAGAUCGGGAGGAACACCAGUCGCGAAGGCGCUUAACUGGCUCAUUACUGACGCUCAGGGACGAAAGCUAGGGUAGCAAACGGG